CCUACGGGUGGCAGCAGUGGGGAAUAUUGCGCAAUGGGCGAAAGCCUGACGCAGCGACGCCGCGUGAGGGAUGAAGGUCCUCGGAUCGUAAACCUCUGUCAGCAGGGAAGUACGGUCCCUUUGCUAAUCAGCAUUGAAUUGACGGUACCUGCAAAGGAAGCACCGGCUCACUCCGUGCCAGCAGCCGCGGUAAUACGGAGGGUGCGAGCGUUGAUCGGAAUUACUGGGCGUAAGGGGCUCGUAGGCGGUAUGUGAAGUCAAGGGUGAAAUCCCCACGCUAAACGUGGGAGCUGCCGUUGAAACUGGAGAACUGGAGUGUGGGAGAGGAAAGUGGAAUUCCAGGUGUAGGAGUGAAAUGCGUAGAUAUCUGGAAGAACAUCAGUGGCGAAGGCGACUAGCUGGGACGUAACUGACGCUGAGGAGCGAAAGCGUGGGUAGCAAACAGGAUUAGAUACCCGAGUAGUC
rnacentral:rRNA from 1 species